rnacentral:rRNA from 1 species
ACUGCUCAGUAACACGUAGUCAACAUGCCCAGAGGACGUGGAUAACCUCGGGAAACUGAGGAUAAACCGCGAUAGGUCAUAAUAUCUGGAAUGAUUUAUGAUUUAAAUCUAUAUGGCCUCUGGAUUGGACUGCGGCCGAUCAGGCUGUUGGUGAGGUAAUGGCCCACCAAACCUGAAACCGGUACGGGCUCUGAGAGGAGAAGCCCGGAGAUGGGCACUGAGACAAGGGCCCAGGCCCUAUGGGGCGCAGCAGGCGCGAAAACUCUGCAAUAAGCGAAAGCUUGACAGGGUUAUUCUGAGUGAUUUCCGCUAAGGAAAUCUUUUGGCACCUCUAAAAAUGGUGCAGAAUAAGGGGUGGGCAAGCCUGGUGUCAGCCGCCGCGGUAAUACCAGCACCCCGAGUGGUCGGGACGAUUAUUGGGCCUAAAGCAUCCGUAGCCGGUUCUACAAGUCUUCCGUUAAAUCCACCUGCUUAACAGAUGGGCUGCGGAGGAUACUAUAGAGCUAGGAGGCGGGAGAGGCAAGCGGUACUUAGUGGGUAGGGGUAAAAUCCGUUGAUCCAUUGAAGACCACCAGUGGCGAAGGCGGCUUGCCAGAACGCACUCGACGGUGAGGGAUGAAAGCUGGGGGAGCAAACCGGAUUAGAUACCCGGGUAGUCCCAGCUGUAAACGAUGCAGACUCGGUGAUGAAUAGGCUUCGUGCCUAUUCAGUGCCGCAGGGAAGCCGUUAAGUCUGCCGCCUGGGGAGUACGGUCGCAAGACUGAAACUUAAAGGAAUUGGCGGGGGAG